UACGUAGGUGGCAAGCGUUGUCCGGAUUUACUGGGUGUAAAGGGCGUGUAGCCGGGCUUACAAGUCAGAUGUGAAAUCCGGGGGCUCAACCCCCGAACUGCAUUUGAAACUGUAGGUCUUGAGUAUCGGAGAGGCAGGCGGAAUUCCUAGUGUAGCGGUGAAAAGCGUAGAUAUUAGGAGGAACACCAGUGGCGAAGGCGGCCUGCUGGACGACAACUGACGGUGAGGCGCGAAAGCGUGGGGAGCAAACAGG
rnacentral:rRNA from 1 species